UACGAAGGGGGCUAGCGUUGCUCGGAAUCACUGGGCGUAAAGCGCACGUAGGCGGACUCUUAAGUCAGGGGUGAAAUCCUGGAGCUCAACUCCAGAACUGCCUUUGAUACUGAGAGCCUUGAGUUCGGGAGAGGUGAGUGGAACUGCGAGUGUAGAGGUGAAAUUCGUAGAUAUUCGCAAGGACACCAGUGGCGAAGGCGGCUCACUGGCCCGAUACUGACGCUGAGGUGCGAAAGCGUGGGGAGCAACAGG
rnacentral:rRNA from 1 species